AGCUCCAAUAGCGUAUAUUAAAGUUGUUGCAGUUAAAAAGCUCGUAGUUGGAGUUCAGAGUGAGCUCAGACGGUCGGCCUAAUGGGUCAGAACUGGUUGACUCUCUCUUGUUUGUGGAUCCCGCCCGGAGUUAAUUCUUCGGAUGUGGACUCCACAUCGUUUACCUUGAAAAAAUUAGAGUGUUCAAAGCAGGCGUUUGCUUGAAUAUAUUAGCAUGGAAUAAUGGAAUAGGACCCUGGUUCUAUUUUGUUGGUUUUGAGGACCAGAGUAAUGAUUAAUAGGGAUAGUUGGGGGCAUUCAUAUUUCAUUGUCAGAGGUGAAAUUCUUGGAUUUAUGAAAGAUGAACUUCUGCGAAAGCAUUUGCCAAGGAUGUUU
rnacentral:rRNA from 1 species